GCUCCAGUAGCACAAUCGGUUAGCGCGCCGUACUUAUAAUGCGGAGGUUGUGAGUUCGAUCCUCACCUGGAGCA
rnacentral:tRNA from 1 species